GCUCCUGGCCGCCCCGCUUGCUGCCCCUCCGAGGGGGACAGGAGCCGGCUCUGCGGCGACUCAACCCCCCCCUUCCCAGUGGAAAGUGUGUGUCAAACUCCGGCCAGGCCCUGAAAGUUUUGCACCCGCCCCCGGGAUCCUGUUUAAAUAGGCUCAGUCAGUUGCUCGCAUGGAAAGGGCUGAAGUAUUGGCACUGAGGCUGCUGGAAUCGGUGUUUCCAGAUGGAGUGGAUCCUCAGCCUGGACAGCGGCUCACUUGUAUGGACGCACAUAAGAAUGGCCAUACUGGGUCAGACUAAUGGUCUAUCUAGCCCAGUGUCCUGUCUUCUGACAACAGCCAAUGCCAGGUGGUUCAGAGGGAGUGAACGGAACAGGUCACUUGUGGUGAUCCAUCCCCUGUCGUCCAGUCCUAGCAUCUGACAGUCUAAGGUUUAGAGACACCCAGAGCAUUGGAAAGUCUGAAACGCUCCUGUGCUCCCCAAGUAGAGUUGGAUGCCAGCCUGUGUCUUGUCUGUCACCCCCCUGCUAAGUUACAUAUUACUGCUCAUACUGUGUUUAUGUAUACGUUUUGAGGGCCUCUUCACCUCAGCAGCUCAGCCACACUGCACCAGGAGCAUCGGAUUUUGAACUGUCACAGACUAAGUGCUCAGUGGUGAGUUUAUGGUGGACAUCCUUGACAGAGGCAAGAAACAGGUGCAGUAUCAAAGGGAAAAAGAUUCAUGGCAAGUGGAAAAGCAUAGACAGGCAACAGAGCACAAGAAGAGACUUGCAACACAGUUUCUGGAGUAGGAAUGUUGCCUAAGGGACAAAGAUGGAGCACAACAGAAAGACCUGUUUGAGAGACUGCUUACGCUACUGGCCACAGGAUUUCAGGCUCCUGCUCCACUGACACCAUGUCCUGAGUCCUCUCCAUGGUACCAUGUCCUGCAGACCAAGAAUACAUUGGACAAUAUCACAGUUGGGUGGCCUGUGCAACUGGGACUGAAUGCUAACUGGACAGGGCAAAUGUGCCCCCCUGCAGCGGCACCAAGUGUGUGCUAAAUGUGCUAGAAAGGGAAAGAGAAUAGGGGCCAGCAGACAUGCAAAAGUAGAGAAUUUGUUCGCUUGCAUUGGUUUCUCUGUUUUGCACUGUUCAGUGUUCGUUAUGCACUUUAUUACUGGUUUUGGUGUUGGUUUAUUACUGGAGUUUUGGCAUCACAAUGGCAGCUGGCUUGCCAAACAAUGCUUGAAUAUUGUUUUUCAUAAUAAGGGUAUGUUCACAAAUAAAGGCUUUUAUUUUAUUUAAAAA